CACCCCAUUUCUAAAAUGUACAACAUAAAGCGGAUGGUAUUGAUUUAUUUUCCUUACAAACAAAAUACAUUAUCUAAAAGAAGGGUGAAGUCCAUGAUGUUCCGCAAAUAUUGUAUCAAACAAUUUUUAUCCCCAUGGUACCUGAAAGCCAUCCAAAUCUUCACCUCCACUCGCUAUAAAUCCAUGAACUGAGGGGUCUACCUCAUAAAUUUUUAACCUGCCAGAAGCAGUUACAGUGAGGGUAAACCCCCCCCUCGUGUUGAGUCUAUCGCUUCAACCUUUUGUCGAGCCAGGUACUU
rnacentral:misc_RNA from 1 species